UACGAAGGGGACUAGCGUUGUUCGGAUUUACUGGGCGUAAAGCGCGCGUAGGCGGAUCGCUAAGUCGGACGUGAAAUCCCUCGGCUUAACCGGGGAACUGCGUCCGAUACUGGAUGGCUUGAGUUCGGGAGAGGGAUGCGGAAUUCCAGGUGUAGCGGUGAAAUGCGUAGAUAUCUGGAGGAACACCGGUGGCGAAGGCGGCAUCCUGGACCGACACUGACGCUGAGGAGCGAAAGCCAGGGGAGCAAACGGG
rnacentral:rRNA from 1 species